GACGAACGCUGGCGGCGUGCUUAAUACAUGCAAGUCAACUGAACUUGAGAUAGCAAUAUUUUAAGGGAGGUGGCGCACGGGUGAGUAACACGUAGGUAAUCUGCCUUUAGGUCUGACACAACCCCGAGAAAUCGGGGCUAAUAUCAGAUGAUGCAGCGGCUCGACAUCGAGACAGUUGUUAAACCUUCGGGGCCUAGAGAUGAGCCUGCGUCUGAUUAGGUAGUUGGCGGAGUAAAAGCCCACCAAGCCUGCGAUCAGUAGCUGGUCUGAGAGGAUGAUCAGCCACACUGGAACUGAGACACGGUCCAGACUCCUACGGGAGGCAGCAGUAAGGAAUAUUGGUCAAUGGACGCAAGUCUGAACCAGCCACGUCGCGUGAAGGAAGACGGCCCUACGGGUUGUAAACUUCUUUUAUACGGGAAUAAAGUGCCCCACGCGUGGGGUUUUGCAUGUACCGUAUGAAUAA
rnacentral:rRNA from 1 species